rnacentral:lncRNA from 1 species
CCACCAUGACCGGCGCCACCGCAAGGACCAGAACCAGGGCCAGGAUCAGGAUGGAGUACUUGACCGCCGCCAUUGUUUUGUAGCUAUAUGUAGCAUGCGAGAUCGAUCUUUAUAUGUAUGUAUAUAUAGGAGCUAGAGGUUGUGUACGUCUACGUGUGGUGGUUUCAGGUUUUUGGUAACUCGCGGGAUUGAGAAGUUUAUGCCAUGAUUUGCAGCACAUUGCCUUGUUAUAUGAUCCUUCCAUCCAAAAAUAAAAAGGUAAAUCUUAAUAUAAAAAACAAAAAAAUGUAAGUAGG